UACGGAGGGUGCAAGCGUUAAUCGGAAUUACUGGGCGUAAAGCGCGCGUAGGCGGCUUUGCAAGUCGAGUGUGAAAUCCCCAGGCUCAACCUGGGAACUGCAUUCGAGACUGCAUAGCUAGAGUAUGGGAGAGGGAAGUGGAAUUUCAGGUGUAGCGGUGAAAUGCGUAGAUAUCUGAAGGAACAUCAGUGGCGAAAGCGACUUCCUGGACCAAUACUGACGCUCAUGUGCGAAAGCUGGGGGAGCAAACCGG
rnacentral:rRNA from 1 species